rnacentral:rRNA from 1 species
GCAAUGGACGAAAGUCUGACCGAGCAACGCCGCGUGAGUGAAGAAGGUUUUCGGAUCGUAAAGCUCUGUUGUAAGUCAAGAACGUGUGUGAGAGUGGAAAGUUCACACAGUGACGGUAGCUUACCAGAUAGGGACGGCUAACUACGUGCCAGCAGCCGCGGUAAUACGUAGGUCCCGAGCGUUGUCCGGAUUUAUUGGGCGUAAAGGGAGCGCAGGCGGUCAGGAAAGUCUGGAGUAAAAGGCUAUGGCUCAACCAUAGUGUGCUCUGGAAACUGUCUGACUUGAGUGCAGAAGGGGAGAGUGGAAUUCCAUGUGUAGCGGUGAAAUGCGUAGAUAUAUGGAGGAACACCAGUGGCGAAAGCGGCUCUCUGGUCUGUCACUGACGCUGAGGCUCGAAAGCGUGGGUAGCGAACAGGAUUAGAUACCCUGGUAGUCCACGCCGUAAACGAUGAGUGCUAGGUGUUAGGCCCUUUCCGGGGCUUAGUGCCGGAGCUAACGCAAUAAGCACUCCGCCUGGGGAGUACGACCGCAGGUUGAAACUCAAAGGAAUUGACGGGGGCCCGCACAAGCGGUGGAGCAUGUGGUUUAAUUCGAAGCACGCGA